CACCCAUGCAUUCCCCACAAGACAUCUCUUCACAAUCUCCAAGUCCGAACUACGAAGGUAGAGCCAUGAAUACGUUGCAAUCUAUUCCGCAUCAGGAUAAGAUUUCAACACACACCGUACGGAACAGCGGGGACUGAAGACACUCCUUAAAGUUGCGAGCUUGCACCGUGGGACGGUUUCAUUGCUCCAGACCACCACAAGGGGGAGUUUGCGCAAUCAUUAUGCAUUUGGGUCCCAAGGCUUUGGGAUGACCAGACUAAUUUUGACACGAGCCACCCUUGCCUUGUGGCGCUCAACGAAGAUUGCUGACAAAACAGAUGGAAGUUGUCUUAACGAGUCAAGCAAAUGUACAAUUUGAGAGGAAUGUGAUAAUGUAGAGACGUGGCUAUAUAAAAAAAAUUUUUUUUUUGUCAAAGUUAAAUUACGAAAAUCUCUAUUUAGCAAGUUCAGACUAGCUAGUGUUAGGAGAAUGAAUUUGUCUUUUCAGGGACUCCUGAGAACCAACAAACCAGGAUGUUGUCUUGUGAAACAGUGGCUGUAAAGCAUCGACUGCACAAUUGUAAGCUUGCCUUGCAAUGCAGCUAAAGUAACAUGGCUAGCUAUUUACUUGCUUGAGUCGGAUUAAAAAUAACUCUUGCCGCUCUGGGUAUGGACCCUAAAACGUAGUUCUGAACUAAUAUUCAUACCAAUCAAUGAACCUCAAGUCUGAAUGGCAUUAAUGAAGCCUAGAGUAGAAUAUACCUUUUAUUGUGCCAAGGAUGCAAGACCUAUAUACACAUUUUAGUUAAUACCACGUAUGAGAUUCCCAUCUUGUAGCCUGUACAUUGAAUAUAUUCACCGAUCAUGUACUCUUCCUUGGCAAAUAAAGGUGUGGUUCUGGUAUGACAGACACUUUCAGUCAUAUCAAACGAUGCGGUGUCUGCAUGUAUGUAUUACAAUUAUACACUUCAGUGUUUACUGCUCCUGGGAUAUCAAUGAUUACACAUUGUAACUAUACAAUAGACUAAACAUGAUUGAUUUGUAAUUCAUAUAUACAGGAAAAAAACAUAUGCAUAUCUAACUCCAUUAAUCUGAGGACACAGGAUAGUAUUUCAACCAGUGGAGAAUGUGAAACGCUUUAUUGAAAGAAGUGCAUUUUAUUUAUAAUAUUAUACGAGUUCAAUCUUGGGCGGGCAGGUGGGUAGAGCGUUGGACUAGUAACCAGAAGGUUGCAAGAUCAAAUCCCUGAGCCGAGAAGGUAAAAAUCUGCCCCUGAACAAGGCAGUUCCUAGGCCGUCAUUCUUAUCUGACAUGCCUAGUUAAUAAAGGGUAACUACACCCCAAAAUCUGUCUUAAUUGGUUUCCUGCUAGGGUUUUAAACGUUGUCGUGGACAUAGAACAUCCAAUGUUAUAUUUCUAUUAAAAAGGUGUACAUUUUAGAGAGCGAAAACCUAUAGAUGCAGGGACAAACGGUCAACCGGGAAAUGUAAAUGGAGAAACAUUGAAGGGAUUUUACAGGGCCCUAAUGGACUACAGACAUUGACAGUCUCCUAGCCUAAAAACAAAUGCUGAAUGCACUGCCUAGAUUUUGAGGGAAACGCACUGUCCA
ensembl:lncRNA